CAGAUGUCCACCAUGCUUAUACAGGACACUACACACUGUCUCGACAAGCCAUGUUCUUUCCUCCCUCUUCGUGAGCACUUUCUCUGGUGAUGAGUUAGUAUGGACUACUUGAACCUCAAAACUGGGCCUCUCACCCAAAGCCAAAUGAAGUAGCGUAUGCCAGGAUGAUGUUUCUUUUGGGCCGUUGGCAGUGAGACUGCUAAGCAGGCUGCCUUAGGUUUUGCUGUGGCAAUGCUAGCAGAUUGUUCCCUCUUUCAAAGGGGCAAAAAUAUCAUUUUGGUAUGAUAACUGACUUUCUAUUUACAGUUUCUGGCCCCCAAAGACAAACCAAGUGGAGACACAGCAGCUGUAUUUGAAGAAGGUGGUGAUGUGGACGAUUUAUUGGACAUGAUAUAGGUCGUGGAUGUAUGGGGAAUCUAAGAGAGCUGCCAUCGCUGUGAUGCUGGGAGUUCUAACAAAACAAGUUGGAUGCGGCCAUUCAAGGGGAGCCAAAAUCUCAAGAAAUUCCCAGCAGGUUACCUGGAGGCGGAUCAUCUAAUUCUCUGUGGAAUGAAUACACACAUAUAUAUUACAAGGGAUAAUUUAGACCCCAUACAAGUUUAUAAAGAGUCAUUGU
rnacentral:lncRNA from 1 species